UACGUAGGGACCAAGCGUUGUUCGGAAUUACUGGGCGUAAAGCGUGCGCAGGCGGCUUCUCAAGUCAGGGGUGAAAGCCCAGAGCUCAACUCUGGAAUUGCCUUUGAGACUGAGUGGCUUGAGUACGAGAGAGGUGAGUGGAAUUCCCAGUGUAGAGGUGAAAUUCGUAGAUAUUGGGAAGAACACCGGUGGCGAAGGCGGCUCACUGGCUCGUAACUGACGCUCAUGCACGACAGCGUGGGGAUCAAACAGG
rnacentral:rRNA from 1 species